rnacentral:rRNA from 1 species
UACGUAGGGGGCGAGCGUUAUCCGGAUUCACUGGGUGUAAAGGGAGCGUAGACGGCGACGCAAGUCUGGAGUGAAAGCCCGGGGCCCAGCCCCGGGACUGCUCUGGAAACUGCGUCGCUGGAGUACGGGAGGGGCAGGCGGAAUUCCUGGUGUAGCGGUGAAAUGCGUAGAUAUCAGGAGGAACACCGGCGGCGAAGGCGGCCUGCUGGACCGUGACUGACGUUGAGGCUCGAGAGCGUGGGGAGCAAACAGG